rnacentral:rRNA from 1 species
UGGAGUUUGAUCCUGGCUCAGAAUGAACGCUAGCGGCGUGGAUUAGGCAUGCAAGUCGCACGAGAAAGUGCCUUCGGGUGCGAGUAAAGUGGCGAACGGGUGAGUAAGGCGUAAAUGACCUACCUCGAUGACGGGGAUAACAGCUCGAAAGGGCUGCUAAUACCGGAUGUGCUCACGGGCUUGAGGGUUUGUGAGUAAAGAUGGCCACUGUUUCAAGCUGUCGCAUCGAGAGGGGUUUACGUACUAUUAGCUUGUUGGUGGGGUAAUGGCCUACCA